CAGUCGCCGCGGGAAUACGUAGGUGGCAAGCGUUGUCCGGAAUUAUUGGGCGUAAAGCGCGCGCAGGUGGUUUAAUAAGUCUGAUGUGAAAGCCCACGGCUCAACCGUGGAGGGUCAUUGGAAACUGUUAAACUUGAGUGCAGGAGAGAAAAGUGGAAUUCCUAGUGUAGCGGUGAAAUGCGUAGAGAUUAGGAGGAACACCAGUGGCGAAGGCGGCUUUUUGGCCUGUAACUGACACUGAGGCGCGAAAGCGUGGGGAGCAAACAGGAUUAGAUACCCCAGUAGUCCCUGUCUCUUAUAC
rnacentral:rRNA from 1 species